CAGAGGUCCCAAGCGUUGUUCGGAUUCAUUGGGCGUAAAGGGUGCGUAGGUGGCAUGGUAAGUCGGGUGUGAAAUCCCCGGGGCUCAACCCCGGAACUGCACUCGAUACUACCGUGCUCGAGUACUGGAGAGGAGACUGGAAUUUACGGUGUAGCAGUGAAAUGCGUAGAUAUCGUAAGGAAGACCGGUGGCGAAGGCUAGUCUCUGGACAGUUACUGACACUGAGGCACGAAGGCCAGGGGAGCAAGCGGGAUUAGAUACCCCGGUAGUCCUGGCAGUAAACGGUGCGCGUUUGGUGUGGGAGGAUUCGACCCCUUCCGUGCCGGAGCUAACGCGUUAAACGCGCCGCCUGGGGAAUACGAUCGCAAGAUUA
rnacentral:rRNA from 1 species